CGAAAGCCUGUCGGAGCAAUACCGCGUGAGGGAAGACGGCCUAUGGGUUGUAAACCUCUUUUUUCAGGGAGGAAUAAAUGACGUGUACCUGAAGAAUAAGCAUCGGCUAACUCCGUGCCAGCAGCCGCGGUAAGACGGAGGAUGCAAGUGUUAUCCGGAAUCACUGGGCGUAAAGCGUCUGUAGGUGGUUUAGUAAGUCAACUGUUAAAUCUUGAAGCUUAACUUCAAAAUCGCAGUCGAAACUAUUAGACUAGAGUAUAGUAGGGGUAAAGGGAAUUUCCAGUGGAGCGGUGAAAUGCGUAGAUAUUGGAAAGAACACCGAUGGCGAAGGCACUUUACUGGGCUAUUACUGACACUCAGGGACGAAAGCUAGGGGAGCG
rnacentral:rRNA from 1 species